ensembl:snRNA U6 U6 spliceosomal RNA
GUGCUUACUUUGGCAGCACAAAUACUAAAAUUGAAAGGAUACAGAGAAGAUUAACAUGGCCCCUCCCCCAAGGAUGACACGCAAAUUCAUGAGGCAUUGGGUAUUUUC